GCCGAGAUAGCUUAAUUGGUAGAGCAACGGUAUCGUAAACCGUAGGUUGGAGGUUCAACUCCUCUUCUCGGCUCCA
rnacentral:tRNA from 1 species